AUUGAACGCUGGCGGCAGGCCUAACACAUGCAAGUCGAGCGGAGAGGCGGACGGGUGAGUAAGGCCAAGGAAUCGGCAUGGUAGCGAGGGCUAAAGUCAGGAAACGGGCGCUAAUACCGCAUACUAGCAGAUGAGACUAGGUCGGAUUAGCGAGUGGGGGGGGUAAAGGCCUACCAAGGCGAAGGUCCGUAACUGGUCUGAGAGGAUGAUCAGUCACACUGGAACUGAGACACGGUCCAGACUCCUACGGGAGGCAGCAGUGGGGAAUAUUGCACAAUGGGCGCAAGCCUGAUGCAGCCAUGCCGCGUGUAUGAAGAAGGCCUUCGGGUUGUAAAGUACUUUCAGUCGGGAGGCGUUACCGACAGAAGAAGCACCGGCUAACUCCGUGCCAGCAGCCGCGGUAAUAC
rnacentral:rRNA from 1 species